AUUUACAUAUUCUGGACUUUUGUGCUGUGCAAAUAAACAAAAUAAUAUUUAAUUUGCCUGACGACCUUUUUGUCAUCGUUUUAAUUAAUAAAUGCCAGCAACAGCAGCAACAACAAUUAUAAUACAAAAAUAACUUUUCAAAGAGUUUUGAUAGCGACAACUGCCUGAAAACACAAAUAGCAAAAACAAAGUAUUGCAACAAAUUAAUCAACUUUUGUUGUUCCCAGCACCGGAAAAGACAGAACAGAACGGGACAGGAAAGGAUACUAUCGGACAGGACACACGCAUUGGAUACGCUGGCCGGAAUUCAUAAUUUGCAUAAAGUCAAAUGCAGCGACAACGUUGAAGCCAACGCACGUCUUUUUGCUUUUCACUUCAAUAUAAAUUGUGGCUUAAAUCAACAAUAAGCGCGCGUGUGUGUGCUGUGAAUGAAAAUCCAAAGAGAUUUUAUUCCAAUAAUUAAAAUCAAAUGCUAAUUCAUUUUGGCUCAAGGGUGUUGAGCUGUGAGUCGCCAUUCUAUGCGAUAUUCAUGAUCUAAUGUAUGCAGCAAUUUGAUGGUUAUUCUUUUUUCUUUUUCUACCUGACACUCGCGUUUCAAAUUCUUUCUUUCUGUCACUCUCAUUCUUUGGCUGAGCUCUUAAUAUCACUAAGCUGCCUCUUUCUUACACUCUCUCCCUCUCUCACUCUACUUUACUGUCAGUCUGUCUUUCUUUCACCACAUGUUUUUGCCUUUUUCUCAGUUCUCUAUACCUCUUUUCUAUUUCAUAUCAUUUUCUUUUUCUCUCUUUCUAUAUCAUUUCUAUAUCAUUGAAUCUCAUCCCAUUUUUGCCCUCUUCCGCUUUUGUUCAUCUCUUUUCUGUCACUAAUGUUUCAUUGAUUUAUAAUCGUUUGUUAUCGCCUUUCUUUACGAUUCUCAUAAAUUAGUUUUUUCUGCGUGUAAAAUGUAAAACUAGUAACCUAAAAAUUGACUCUUACUAAUAAUAUGUUUAUACUUGAGCCCGACCCACCAA